CAACUACUCCCUCCGUUUGGAAUUACUUGUCGCAGAAAUGGAUGUAUCUAGACGUAUUUUAGUUCUAGAUACAUCCAUUUUCGCGACAAGUAAUUCCGAACGGAGGGAGUACCUG
rfam:Triticum aestivum genome assembly, contig: Triticum_aestivum_CS42_TGACv1_scaffold_146940_2BS